UUUUUGGUCCUUACUUACUCAUCAGUAAGUCAAAGCUAGAAAGGGCUGAUAGAUGUAAAUAUAUCAAGAAGUGAAAUAAAAGCUAUUGGGCUACAUCUGUGCAGUCUCCACUGUUCUGUUUUGGAGGGAAGAAGUCUGAGACUAAGGUGUUGGCAGAGAUGGUUUCUUCUCUGUCCUUGACUUGCAGGUUGAAGAGGGAUUUUGAAGGAAGGAAGAAUGACCAUUAUCCAUGCAAAAUGAUAGAUUGGUAGGGAAGAUCAAAUCAUUUAAAGAAUAACACAGCUGAUAUAAAAGUCUCUUUAUAGCUCUAAAUGUCAGACAGAUCUGAGUUUGAGAACUUGCUCCAUAACAUUGCAGCGAUAUAACGUUGGGGAAAUUGCUUAAUUAAGUCUUAAUUCUCUCCUUUGUAAAAAAGAAUGUAAUAAUGGCACCAACUUCAUAAGGUCACUGUGAGGGUUACAUGGAAGAACUCAUGUAAAAUGUUUAUCCUGGGGCCUAGCAUAUAAUAAAUGUUCCACAAAUGUUAUUUACUGCUAUUAUCGUUAUUUUUAAUAUUCUUGAGUUUCUCAUUCUCAA